rnacentral:rRNA from 1 species
AGAGUUUGAUCCUGGCUCAGAGUGAACGCUGGCGGUAGGCCUAACACAUGCAAGUCGAACGGCAGCACAGAGGAGCUUGCUCCUUGGGUGGCGAGUGGCGGACGGGUGAGGAAUACAUCGGAAUCUACUCUGUCGUGGGGGAUAACGUAGGGAAACUUACGCUAAUACCGCAUACGACCUACGGGUGAAAGCAGGGGAUCUUCGGACCUUGCGCGAUUGAAUGAGCCGAUGUCGGAUUAGCUAGUUGGCGGGGUAAAGGCCCACCAAGGCGACGAUCCGUAGCUGGUCUGAGAGGAUGAUCAGCCACACUGGAACUGAGACACGGUCCAGACUCCUACGGGAGGCAGCAGUGGGGAAUAUUGGACAAUGGGCGCAAGCCUGAUCCAGCCAUACCGCGUGGGUGAAGAAGGCCUUCGGGUUGUAAAGCCCUUUUGUUGGGAAAGAAAUCCAGCCGGCUAAUACCUGGUUGGGAUGACGGUACCCAAAGAAUAAGCACCGGCUAACUUCGUGCCAGCAGCCGCGGUAAUACGAAGGGUGCAAGCGUUACUCGGAAUUACUGGGCGUAAAGCGUGCGUAGGUGGUUAUUUAAGUCCGUUGUGAAAGCCCUGGGCUCAACCUGGGAACUGCAGUGGAUACUGGAUGACUAGAAUGUGGUAGAGGGUAGCGGAAUUCCUGGUGUAGCAGUGAAAUGCGUAGAGAUCAGGAGGAACAUCCAUGGCGAAGGCAGCUACCUGGACCAACACUGACACUGAGGCACGAAAGCGUGGGGGCAAACAG